CCUGGUAGCUCAAUGGUAAAGAAUCUGCCUGCCAAUGCAGAAGGCACGGGUUCAAACCCUGAUCCAGG
rnacentral:tRNA from 1 species